UAUUGUAUUUGGGAACUCUUUAUUUUGCUUCUUGAUUUCAUUUUUGGAACUAAAUAAACAGUAUUGUUGCCUACUGCUAGCACAGUCACACAUUGCUGGAGACCAGUCUCAUUAUAGUGAAAUUAAGCCAAGCAGAGAAUUAGGUGGCUCUGGGAGACUACAUUCCUGUGACCAGAAGUGCUCAUGAAGAGACUGACUCCUGAUCAACCUGGGUACAAGGCUGGGGGCUCAGGCCCAUCAGGAGGCCCCUGCUUCAUAGUGGAAGACUGGAUUCUGGGUGUUCCAUAUGAAUUAGACAUCUCUUAGGAUUCAAGGCGUUGAUUUUGAUGAUACAUCACUGUUUCCAAAUUUGGGGAUUAUAACUAGAAAGGAAAGAAUUGAGUAAAAUACCCAUGCCAAAAUUUCUGUAUCUAUGGUUUUGUUUGGGUUUUGUUUUGUUUUUCUUUUUGGUAAAUAUUGUUUCAGAGCAUGUAUCUAAAAAAGAAAGGGAAAGCAAUGAUGCACACCGCUAUCACUGUAAUCAUAACAAUACCAUCCGUGCCCAUGGAUGCAUAAACAGCCAAUAGGGUAGAGAACCACCAUCAAUCUCACUGAAGACCUAGGUCUCCCUAAAAUUCUAAUUGACAAUUACUUACAAUUGUCUAUCUUUGCUACCUACCAAAACGUAUGUUUUCAUGAUCGCAUACUGUUCAGAUGAUUUUUUAAACACUUUUUGCCCCCCUACAAGUAUUUUUAAAUUUCAAUUUACAUACGUUUUUUAAAAUUUUUUUGAUAAGUAGUAGAUAAGACACUGUCAAAAUAUAUCUUACAUUUGGGUGAAAUUCUGAGACAAGUGCAAUGAGAAUGAGUUCCGAGAGAAAAAAAGGGUCAUCUACACCAUCUCACUGUUAAUGAGGAAAUCUGAUCAUGUUUUAUGAAUUGAUUAUGGUAUCAAAUUGCUAUUACAAUAUAUACCUUGAAAAGAUUGAUGUGAUCGUGUGUCAACCACCUCUCAAUAAAAAGGACUUUGAAAAUGUAUAAAAGAUCAAGAACUUUUAAAAUAUUCCAAAUUCUCUUUAAAAAUUGCUGUGGGCCAUUUUGCUUUCUUAAAACGUCCUGUUGGGAUUUGUGUCCUUGUAACUAUCAGAACUAAGGAUAAAAAUAUUUUAGAUGAAAAAUGUGAGGUUUUACAUCCCUUUAGACUGGAUUCAGGUGGGAAAAGGAAUGGGUGGCUGGGCUUCCAGCCACUGGGCGAAGGAAGGGCUCGGUGGGACAUUCCCGCCCAGACCUCCUGCCCAGCCUGGCAUCCACCACCCAACCGGCUUCCUUCAGAGAGAGGAUUUACCCUUUUUCAUUGAGCUUCUGUCCCCCGCUUGGGACGAGGACAUGGCCUCUCAAUACAGGAGUCUCAGAACGGCUCAAGAGAGUGAUUGAUAGCAAACCGCUGAUUUACACGUAACAAAACCAAAGGAAAAGGCAAAGCGACGUCCUUUCCCAAUUGAAGACUCUUCGCGCCAAAGGCAAGGCGACACUUUCCAAAUAAAUGCCGUAAAUUCUUUCAAAGAGAGAGGGUGGCAGCCCGGGUGGCUCAGCGGUUUAGCGCUGACUUCAGCCCAGGGCGUGAUCCUGGAGGCUCAGGAUCAAGAACCCACGUCGGGCUCCCUGCAUGGAGCCUGCUUCUCCCUCUGCCUGUCUCUGCCUCUCUCGGUCUCUCAUGAAUAAAUAAAUAAGAUCUUUAAAGAGA
rnacentral:lncRNA from 1 species